CCAGCUUCCCAGCAUUCACCUACCUUCCUUUGGUUUGGCCCUGUGUCCCUCAAACCUGUUCCUCAAACACCCUCCUGCCUCCCCACCCUUCAUCCCCUCCCACCUCCCCUCCGCCUACUCUCAGUGGGUUCUUACAUUCAGUGUCUCUGCUCAUACUUUCGCUUCCUGCUUCUCUUGACUCGGUUCCACUUAUUUUGACUACUUGAACUGAAAAUGAACCGUCAACAUUGUUUCAAUGGUUCAAGACAGGAUGGACGGUUCCAAAGAACAAAAAAAUGUUCAUGAAGGUAAAAAGACACCAUAUGUGGUGUCUUUUGAACAAUGUUCCUUUGAACAUUUCUUUUUCCAUUGAGGGGAAAAUGGACAGGUAACAGUCUUUGAAAAACUAAGAAAAAUGUGGACUGUUUGUUGUAAAGAGCCCUGAAUUUCAAAUAAGUGACACACACAGUAUGAUUUUAGUAAUACAAAUGUUUAAUGGGUUUUUUUUCCAAUCGAAGGACACACAGACAGUUAACUUUGUGUUCAAAGUUGAAGAGGAAAUGGACUUUUCUAAAGAGGAAAGUAUUAUACUUCAGUGAAAAAACAAUCCAUAUGCAUUUAGUAGUAGAAAAUGGUGACAUUGUUUUAAAUAUCUUAUUGCACGGGUCAACGGGUCUCCAUGUUCGUCCCACCACUCACCCCCACCCUCAUCAUCUCCAAUUCUCAACUUCCCUCCCUCUGUUUUCUCCAUGUGUCCUGGAUAGAUGUUCCUCAAAACCCUUCCCCAUAGCCACCUGAGGAAUGCCCUCCCAUCUCCCCUCCAGUUUCUUUGGCUUCCUUCUCAUCUCAGUGUCUCUGCUUGUGUUUUACUCGCUGGUUUGUCUUCAGGAUCAGGUUCUACUAAUUUGGAACAGUGGGAGAAAAAAUGGAUUGUUAACACUGUCUUAAACGUUCAAAGAAAAGAGACUUUUCUGUAGAGCAAAAGCUUUCAGUUUGUUAAAAGCACACCAUGUAUCUUUACUAAUAGUCAUUUUUAACAUUUUGAGAAAAAUGGAAGGGGCAAGCAACUGUAAGGUUUCUAUUUCAAGAUCACUUGAUUGACUGCUCUAUGCAGCUCAAACAUUCAAUUAAGUAAAAAUAGAAAGAGGAACAAAACCCCGCACAAUGUAUUUAGUAAUAGCAUUGAUGGACAUUUCUUAAACACAGAAGACAAAAUUGACUGUUAAGCUCUCUGACAAUUCAAGACAGAGUGGGCUGUCCUAAGUUUGUUUAUUUCAAGAAACGGGGUUUUCCCUGUGCUUGAGCUGUGUACUAACCCUAUGAAAUAUUUUGUGCAAAUGUCAAGAGUGCACGGAUAGAAAUUUGACAGGGCUCCCCCUGCUGCCAUUAAAAGGAGCACGUUUGUGGAGUGCUACCUUAGAAAAUAAGGAUUCUGGGUCCUUGGAAGACAUUGAUCAGAUGAAACAAACUCAAGACAACAACUGUUCCUUGCUGACUUGGCACACACAUCCAUUGGUCAAGACUUCUAGUGAAGGAGGAGCUUGUCCAGGACCCCUCUAUUAAAAGGCCCACUCUGCUAGAAGGCUGUCAUUGCUUCCACCAAGAGCAGAGGGAGCAAGUGUUACAUUAUUGAUUGGGAUCUGCUGAGCUAGUUAAAACCGGACCCGGGCAUGAAGAACAGAGUGCGGGCCUUCACUCAGCUUUAUGCGGAGAAGAUCUGGGCUCUCGCAAAACGUAAAUUACAGGCGUAUGGAACGCACCCAGCCCUUUGGGUCUUGGACCCACUGGGUCCUUUGGUAAUCAGUGAGAUGCUGGUUUUGGUCCUUGACAAGAUAGCUGCAGCUGUGUACAAGCAGGUGGCUGUGAAGGCUUUAAAAAGGAACAUCAAGUAUUAUUUUAGAAGAUGGAUUCGGCGGUGCCACCCGGCACCCGUUUUGGUGCUUUAAUCCCUGCCUCUGUGUUUACACGAUCUCGGGACUGCUUACAAGACAAGCCCACAUAAUAUUUUUCUGCAAUGUCUACCCGUGAGGAGUUCAAACGGCAGACCGUGGCUUCCUCGUCACACAUAAAUUCCCUAUGUUACAAUAAUGGUCUUCGGGGGGGUGGGGGGGGUGGGGGUUCAGAGUCUCCUUCGAAUUGGCUGCCCCAACUUAUUCCUGCCCCGCACCUUCAGUUGCCAGGAAGCACGGAAUUUGGAUUCUGCACUUAGCUUCCUUGACCACACCACCUCCACCUCCCUGGCAUGAGACGCACCUUGAAGGCAAGGAAAUAAAAGAAUGGCGCAAAAACCCAGCGGUGUCCUCGCUGUCCUUUGGUGACCUCCUUCCCAUUUGGGGGCGGGGGUGUGAGACCCUGGCCUGCCUUCUGAGCAGGGGAUGGGCCCGGGUGCCCGGAGGGCCUCUCUGUGAGGCAGGAGGUUUCUGUGCUGACACACUGCUGGAGAUUUGUAGAUUAGACAAGUUUCCAAGGUUAAGCUCUAGAGUCCAGUCCUCGGGACACUUGAGAAGCCUCAAGCUUGGGUGUGGAGAGCAGAGGGUGUGGCCAGGAGUGCGCACCCUGGUGCCUGUGAGGGGGCUUUCCACACUGACAGGACCGGGACCACGAGAUGGAGGGGCCGGCCCUAAAUGGCCCCCACGGGGAAGCAGGAGACACCCACGGGGCCACGAGCAGGCUCUUGGGGGCAGAAAGACUCAAGAAACAAGCCUUCCUUCAGGGUCCCGGAAGGUUUCCUCCCACAGCCAACCUCUGCUUCCAUGAAAAAUUGGCUGCAGUGCUGCCUGAAGCUCGGAGGUCAACAGGGCCUUUCUCAGGCAAGAGAAGUGCGGCAGCCACCAGACCCAGACCCAGCUUGGAGCAACUGUGCAGUGUGGCCCACUGAAGGACAGAAACUGAGAAGGCGGACCCAGCUCCAAAAACUUCCUCACAGAAGCCUUGCCACCCCCUCCUCCUGCUUCUCAUUGGCCAUCGUUUCCACGUGGCUUUUCAGGAGGCCUCUUUGGCUCCCAGGAGUUACACUUUACUCACACCCUGCUUGCUACUUGAGCUUGGGUUCUGUGUUGGGGAUGGCAGAGCUCGAGCACUUCCCUCAAGUUCUUCAAGGGAAUAAACUGACAAAGGGAAGGAG